rnacentral:tRNA from 1 species
GCCGAGGUAGCUCAGUUGGUAGAGNNGUCCGCAGUUCGAUUCUGCGCCUCGGCACCA